CUUGGAACGGGGGCUAAUACCGGAUGUGCCGAAAGGUAAAAGGUUUACUGCCUGGGGAGGAGCUCGCGUCUGAUUAGCUAGUUGGUGGGGUAAAAGCCUACCAAGGCGACGAUCAGUAGCUGGUCUGAGAGGAUGAGCAGCCACACUGGGACUGAGACACGGCCCAGACUCCUACGGGAGGCAGCAGUGGGGAAUUUUCCGCAAUGGGCGAAAGCCUGACGGAGCAAGACCGCGUGGGGGAGGAAGGCCUUUGGGUUGUAAACCCCUUUUGUCAGGGAAGAAGACAGUGACGGUACCUGACGAAUCAGCCUCGGCUAACUCCGUGCCAGCAGCCGCGGUAAUACGGAGGAGGCAAGCGUUAUCCGGAAUAAUUGGGCGUAAAGCGUCCGUAGGUGGCCCGGCAAGUCGGUUGUCAAAGACCUCAGCUCAACUGGGGAAAGGCAAGGGAAACUGCAAGGCUAGAGUGCGGUAGGGGUAGAGGGAAUUCCCAGUGUAGCGGUGAAAUGCGUAGAGAUUGGGAAGAACACCGGUGGCGAAAGCGCUCUACUGGGCCGCAACUGACACUCUUGGACGAAAGCUAGGGGAGCGAAAGGGAUUAGAUACCCCUGU
rnacentral:rRNA from 1 species